GACGAACGCUGGCGGCGUGCUUAACACAUGCAAGUCGAACGGAAAGGCCCUGCUUUUGUGGGGUGCUCGAGUGGCGAACGGGUGAGUAACACGUGAGUAACCUGCCCUUGACUUUGGGAUAACUUCAGGAAACUGGGGCUAAUACCGGAUAGGAGCUCCUGCUGCAUGGUGGGGGUUGGAAAGUUUCGGCGGUUGGGGAUUGACUCGCGGCUUAUCAGCUUGUUGGUGGGGUAGUGGCUUACCAAGGCUUUGACGGGUAGCCGGCAUGAGAGGGUGACCGGCCACAUUGGGAUUGAGAUACGGCCCAGACUCCUACGGGGGACAGCAGUGGGAAAUAUUGCACAAUGCGCGGAAGCCUGAUGCAGCAACGCCGCGUGCCGGAUGACGGCCUUCGGGUUGUAAACCGCUUUCGCCUGUGACGAAGAGUGAAUGACGGUAAUGGGUAAAGAAGCACCGGCUAACUACGUG
rnacentral:rRNA from 1 species